rnacentral:rRNA from 1 species
AGCAGUCGCCGCGGGAAUAUGAAGGGUGCUAGCGUUGUUCGGAUUUACUGGGCGUAAAGCGCACGUAGGCGGAUCGAUCAGUCAGGGGUGAAAUCCCAGAGCUCAACUCUGGAACUGCCUUUGAUACUGUCGAUCUGGAGUAUGGAAGAGGUGAGUGGAAUUCCGAGUGUAGCGGUGAAAUGCGUAGAUAUCGGAAGGAACACCUGUGGCGAAAGCGGCUCACUGGACCAUUUCUGACGCUGAUGCACGAAAGCUAGGGGAGCAAACAGGAUUAGAUACCCCCGUAGUCCCUGUCUCUUAUAC